AACGCGAAGAACCUUACCAGCCCUUGACAUGUCUGGGACCGGUCGCAGAGACGCGACCUUCUCUUCGGAGCCCGGAACACAGGUGCUGCAUGGCUGUCGUCAGCUCGUGUCGUGAGAUGUUGGGUUAAGUCCCGCAACGAGCGCAACCCCCGUCCUUAGUUGCUACCAUUUAGUUGAGCACUCUAAGGAGACUGCCGGUGAUAAGCCGCGAGGAAGGUGGGGAUGACGUCAAGUCCUCAUGGCCCUUACGGGCUGGGCUACACACGUGCUACAAUGGCGGUGACAAUGGGACGCUAAGGGGCAACCCUUCGCAAAUCUCAAAAAGCCGUCUCAGUUCGGAUUGGGCUCUGCAACUCGAGCCCAUGAAGUUGGAAUCGCUAGUAAUCGUGGAUCAGCAUGCCACGGUGAAUACGUUCCCGGGCCUUGUA
rnacentral:rRNA from 1 species